rnacentral:misc_RNA from 1 species
GGCUAUUUCCCUGUCCUCGCCACUCCUCAUCCUCCGCCUGAGGAAGAUGAUGCUGAUGGUGAUGAUGACGUCCCUCCCGGAUUUGGUCCUUCAACUGCUCGGGAUGAAGACGAUCUUCCUGAAUUUAACUUCUCUGGUUCUGCAAACCCUCCCGGGUUUUCUUCGCAGAACAACCACCACCAUCCUACUCCUCAAGGGCAGCCAUCUAGGCCACCCUCAUUCCAACCAGUUUCCCAAACUGGGUCUCGUCCAGUAGAGCAAAUGCGAGAGCUCGUGCACAA